rnacentral:rRNA from 1 species
UACAGAGGUCCCAAGCGUUGUUCGGAUUUACUGGGCGUAAAGGGUGCGUAGGUGGCGAGGUAAGUUCGAUGUGAAAUCUCCGAGCUCAACUCGGAAAUGGCAUUGAAUACUAUCCCGCUUGAGGGUCGGAGGGGAGACUGGAAUUCUCGGUGUAGCAGUGAAAUGCGUAGAUAUUCGGAAGAACACCAGUGGCGAAGGCGACUCACUGGACACGUAUUGACGCUGAGGUGCGAAAGCGUGGGGAGCAAACAGG